GCAGCCCCAGCCUCCCUGGGGGCCGGAGCUGGAAAACACCGUUUGGACUCUGAAUGCUUUGACACCUUGUAUGAAUACAUUUUAAUCAGAACUGUACCUGUAUUGAUUACAGUGGAAAGAAUGUUUCUGAAACAAAUGUGUUCAGCCAAUCUUAUUUCUUGUUUUUGUUUGGUUUUUUUUGAGAGAGGUCGUAAAACCAUUCCCAUUUUUCAACCAUUUUCAUUUUACAGAAAUUUUCAACGUGUUCAGUUCUUUAUACAUUGAGUACUUUAUGCUGAAAAGAAAGCCUCCAGUUCUUGAGCACGCCAUUCCAGGGACCAGCAGCCUAUCAACAUCACCUCCUGAAAACUCAGUUCACCUCUGCUGAAAGCUGCCAACUGAAAAAAACGCACAACCUAAAA